rnacentral:rRNA from 1 species
CAGUCGCCGCGGGAAUACGGAGGGGGCUAGCGUUGUUCGGAAUUACUGGGCGUAAAGCGCACGUAGGCGGCUUGGUAAGUUAGAGGUGAAAGCCCGGAGCUCAACUCCGGAAUUGCCUUUAAGACUGCCGAGCUAGCAGGUGAGAGAGGUAAGUGGAAUUCCGAGUGUAGAGGUGAAAUUCGUAGAUAUUCGGAAGAACACCAGUGGCGAAGGCGGCUUACUGGCUCAUACUGGACGCUGAGGUGCGAAAGCGUGGGGAGCAAACAGGAUUAGAUACCCCAGUAGUCCCUGUCUCUUAUAA